rnacentral:rRNA from 1 species
UACCAGCACCCCGAGUGGUCGGGACGUUUAUUGGGCCUAAAGCAUCCGUAGCCGGUUCUACAAGUCUUCCGUUAAAUCCACCUGCUUAACAGAUGGGCUGCGGAAGAUACUAUAGAGCUAGGAGGCGGGAGAGGCAAGCGGUACUCGAUGGGUAGGGUAAAAUCCGUUGAUCCAUUGAAGACCACCAGUGGCGAAGGCGGCUUGCCAGAACGCGCUCGACGGUGAGGGAUGAAAGCUGGGGGAGCAAACCGGAUUAGAAACCCGAUG